rfam:Aedes albopictus isolate Foshan contig90640, whole genome shotgun sequence.
UGUUCUGUGGCUUAGUUGGUUAAAGCGACGGACUAGUGAUACGGGGUCGUAAGUUCGAAUCUCACCGAAACAA